CUUCUUUCUUUUAGAAGGUGGUAUGAGAGAAGGAGGUAACAGUGAAGGAACUGGCUCUUUCUCGAGAGCUCUAUAAACCAAAUGCAUUGCCACAGCAAAUUCAUCUUUGUCCAAGUGACCAUCUUUAUCAAUAUCACUGAGAUCCCAGACCCUUCCUAGGAUAUCAAGAGGUAGCUUUGAAUUCAUCAGAACUGGUUUUACUUUGUCUCCUGAAAGUAAACCAAUUACUGGCAAAAGGCUUUCAAAAAUACCAUCAAACUUUGCUUUUUCUUCCAC
rnacentral:lncRNA from 1 species